AUGCUUACUUCAGCAGCACAUAUCCUAAAAAUUGAAAUGAAACAGAGAAGAUUAGCAUCUUCUCCCCUGCGCAAGGAUGACAUGCAAAUUCUGAAGAGUUCUAUAUUUUA
rnacentral:snRNA from 1 species